GCUUAUGUUUUCAAGGCUCAGUUGUAUGAUUUGACUGGAGUUCCACCUGAGCGUCAAAAGAUUAUGGUCAAAGGUGGUCUCUUAAAGGAUGAUGCAGAUUGGUCUGCUAUUGGAGUGAAAGAUGGUCAAAAGUUGAUGAUGAUGGGAACUGCAGAUGAAA